CGAACGGGAUGCUUAGGCAUCUAGUGGCGGACGGGUGAGUAACGCGUGAGAAUCUGGCUCCAGGUCGGGGAUAACAGUUGGAAACGACUGCUAAUACCGGAUGUGCCGAGAGGUGAAAGAUUUAUUGCCUGGAGAUGAGCUCGCGUCUGAUUAGCUAGUUGGUGGUGUAAGGGACCACCAAGGCAUCGAUCAGUAGCUGGUCUGAGAGGAUGAUCAGCCACACUGGGACUGAGACACGGCCCAGACUCCUACGGGAGGCAGCAGUGGGGAAUUUUCCGCAAUGGGCGAAAGCCUGACGGAGCAAUACCGCGUGAGGGAGGAAGGCUCUUGGGUCGUAAACCUCUUUUCUCAAGGAAGAAGAAAGUGACGGUACUUGAGGAAUAAGCAUCGGCUAACUCCGUGCCAGCAGCCGCGGUAAUACGGAGGAUGCAAGCGUUAUCCGGAAUGAUUGGGCGUAAAGGGUCUGCAGGUGGAACUGAAAGUCUGCUGUUAAAGAGUUUGGCUUAACCAAAUAAAAGCGGUGGAAACUACAGAACUAGAGUGUGGUAGGGGCAAAAGGAAUUCCUGGUGUAGCGGUGAAAUGCGUAGAUAUCAGGAAGAACACCGGUGGCGAAAGCGUUUUGCUAGACCAUAACUGACACUGAGGGACGAAAGCUAGGGGAGCGAAUGGGAUUAGAUACCCCAGUAGUCCUAGCCGUAAACGAUGGAUACUAGGCGUGGCUUGUAUCGACCCGAGCCGUGCCGGAGCUAACGCGUUAAGUAUCCCGCCUGGGGAGUACGCACGCAAGUGUGAAACUCAAAGGAAUUGACGGGGGCCCGCACAAGCGGUGGAGUAUGUGGUUUAAUUCGAUGCAACGCGAAGAACCUUACCAAGACUUGACAUCCUGCGAAUCCUGGUGAAAGCUGGGAGUGCCUUCGGGAGCGCAGAGACAGGUGGUGCAUGGCUGUCGUCAGCUCGUGUCGUGAGAUGUUGGGUUAAGUCCCGCAACGAGCGCAACCCUCGUUCUUAGUUGCCAGCAUUAAGUUGGGCACUCUAGAGAGACUGCCCGGUGACAAACCGGAGGAAGGUGAGGAUGACGUCAAGUCAGCAUGCCCCUUACGUCUUGGGCUACGCACGUACUACAAUGCUACGGACAGAGGGCAGCGAGCCAGGGAUGGCAAGCGAAUCCAGAAACCGUAGCUCAGUUCAGAUCGAAGGCUGCAACUCGCCUUCGUGAAGGAGGAAUCGCUAGUAAUUGCAGGUCAGCAUACUGCAGUGAAUUCGUUCCCGGGCCUUGUACACACCGCCCGUCACACCAUGGAAGUUGGUCACGCCCGAAGUCAUUACCCCAACCGAAAGGAGGGGGAUGCCUAAGGUAGGACUGGUGACUGGGGUGAAGUCGUAACAAGGUAGCCGUACCGGAAGGUGUGGCUGGAUCACCUCCUUU
rnacentral:rRNA from 1 species